UGUGAGCUCGAUGAGUAGGGCGGGACACGUGGUAUCCUGUCUGAAUAUGGGGGGACCAUCCUCCAAGGCUAAAUACUCCUGACUGACCGAUAGUGAACCAGUACCGUGAGGGAAAGGCGAAAAGAACCCCGGCGAGGGGAGUGAAAAAGAACCUGAAACCGUGUACGUACAAGCAGUGGGAGCACCCUUUGGGGUGUGACUGCGUACCUUUUGUAUAAUGGGUCAGCGACUUAUAUUCUGUAGCAAGGUUAACCGUAUAGGGGAGCCGGAGGGAAACCGAGUCUUAACCGGGCGUUAAGUUGCAGGGUAUAGACCCGAAACCCGGUGAUCUAGCCAUGGGCAGGUUGAAGGUUGGGUAACACUAACUGGAGGACCGAACCGACUAAUGUUGAAAAAUUAGCGGAUGACCUGUGGCUGGGGGUGAAAGGCCAAUCAAACCGGGAGAUAGCUGGUUCUCCCCGAAAGCUAUUUAGGUAGCGCCUCGUGAAUUCAUCUCCGGGGGUAGAGCACUGUUUCGGCUAGGGGGCCAUCCCGGCUUACCAACCCGAUGCAAACUGCGAAUACCGGAGAAUGUUAUCACGGGAGACACACGGCGGGUGCUAACGUCCGUCGUGAAGAGGGAAACAACCCAGACCGCCAGCUAAGGUCCCAAAGUCAUGGUUAAGUGGGAAACGAUGUGGGAAGGCCCAGACAGCCAGGAUGUUGGCUUAGAAGCAGCCAUCAUUUAAAGAAAGCGUAAUAGCUCACUGGUCGAGUCGGCCUGCGCGGAAGAUGUAACGGGGCUAAACCAUG
rnacentral:rRNA from 1 species